AAUACAGUGAUGAUCAGGAAGAAGUAGUAAUAGGAUAAUCUUUAAGAGAGCUUUCGUUUGGUGUGAGAAAGUAAGAUAAUUAUUGUGAAUACAUCCUGAGAGCUGCCACCGAACGGUUAGUUAAUACUCAGUAGGCUGUGCCGGACACCAACCGUUAUCAUGGAUAAGUAACGAAGGUUAUUUACAGAGUGUGAUGCUUAAACAUCAAAGCAAGGUGGUACCGCGAAUUUUUUUCGUCCCUGUU
rnacentral:ncRNA from 1 species